AACGAACGCUGGCGGCAUGCCUAACACAUGCAAGUCGAACGAGACCUUCGGGUCUAGUGGCGCACGGGUGCGUAACGCGUGGGAACCUGCCCUUAGGUUCGGAAUAACUCCCCGAAAGGGGUGCUAAUACCGGAUAAUGUCUUCGGACCAAAGAUUUACCGCCUUUGGAUGGGCCCGCGUUGGAUUAGCUAGUUGGUAGGGUAAAAGCCUACCAAGGCGACGAUCCAUAGCUGGUCUGAGAGGAUGAUCAGCCACACUGGGACUGAGACACGGCCCAGACUCCUACGGGAGGCAGCAGUGGGGAAUAUUGGACAAUGGGCGAAAGCCUGAUCCAGCAAUGCCGCGUGAGUGAUGAAGGCCUUAGGGUUGUAAAGCUCUUUUACCCGGGAUGAUAAUGACAGUACCGGGAGAAUAAGCUCCGGCUAACUCCGUA
rnacentral:rRNA from 1 species